rnacentral:rRNA from 1 species
AUUGAACGCUGGCGGCAUGCUUUACACAUGCAAGUCGAACGGUAACAGGCCUUCGGGUGCUGACGAGUGGCGAACGGGUGAGUAAUGCAUCGGAACGUACCCAGAGGUGGGGGAUAACGCAGCGAAAGCUGUGCUAAUACCGCAUGUGAUCUGAGGAUGAAAGCGGGGGACCGAGCAGCAAUGUUUGGCCUCGCGCCUUUGGAGCGGCCGAUGUCGGAUUAGCUAGUUGGUGGGGUAAAGGCCUACCAAGGCGACGAUCCGUAGCUGGUCUGAGAGGACGACCAGCCACACUGGGACUGAGACACGGCCCAGACUCCUACGGGAGGCAGCAGUGGGGAAUUUUGGACAAAGGGCGAAAGCCUGAUCCAGCAAUGCCGCGUGCGGGAAGAAGGCCUUCGGGUUGUAAACCGCUUUUGGCAGGAACGAAACGGUGUCCGCUAAUACCGGGCGCUAAUGACGGUACCUGCAGAAUAAGCACCGGCUAACUACGUG